ACCCUCCGGUUCCCUUUCCCGUCGGAUCUGAUCCAGUCUUGGUGGUCGUAAAAGGAGGGACAGUAACACUGAAACUGGCCUCAGCUCUGUAGCUUGUGGGCUGGUUUCAAACCAGG